GUGCCUUUCUCUAUCACCAAUAAUUGUCUUAUGAUUUGGUAGUUGCUCAACUAGCAUUUGUUGAAUUGAAAUGAAUGGGCUCUGAGCACUUCAAGACGAAUUGUACGUGGGCAGACCGCAGAGAGUUUGGCUGUGCAUAAUGUAACAUUCUGUGAACAAAAAAUCUCAGAAUGGGGAAAAAUAAAGGACUGCCCAAUCCCUCAGUUUGCUGGAAACCCUCCUAUGACUUGGAAAUGGAUAGUGGGUCCCAUGUUUCUGUAUCUCUGUGAGAGGUUGGUGCGGUUUUGGCGAUCUCAACAGAAGGUGGUCAUCACCAAGGUGGUCACUCACCCUUUCAAAACCAUCGAGCUACAGAUGAAGAAGAAGGGGUUCAAAAUGGAAGUGGGACAAUACAUUUUUGUCAAGUGCCCAAAGGUGUCCAAGCUGGAGUGGCACCCUUUCACACUGACAUCUGCCCCUGAGGAAGACUUCUUUAGUAUCCAUAUCCGCAUCGUUGGGGACUGGACAGAGGGGCUGUUCAA
rnacentral:sRNA from 1 species